rnacentral:rRNA from 1 species
AUGCAAGUCGAGCGCACUCUUCGGAAUGAGCGGCGGACGGGUUAGUAACGCGUGGGAACAUACCCUUCUCUACGGAAUAGCCUCGGGAAACUGAGAGUAAUACCGUAUACGCCCUUCGGGGGAAAGAUUUAUCGGAGAUGGAUUGGCCCGCGUUAGAUUAGAUAGUUGGUGGGGUAAUGGCCUACCAAGUCUACGAUCUAUAGCUGGUUUGAGAGGAUGAUCAGCAACACUGGGACUGAGACACGGCCCAGACUCCUACGGGAGGCAGCA